rnacentral:rRNA from 1 species
UUCUGUUGGGUGAACCUGCGGAAGGAUCAUUACAAAACUAGUCGUUCGCGUCGGGGCAACCUGAUCGCGAUGUAAGCUUAUACUAGUCACCCUUGAAUAACUACCUUUGUUGCUUUGGCGGGCCGCCGUCAGGCCAGCGGCUUCGGCUGCUGCGUGCCCGCCAGAGGACCACAACUCUUGUUUUUAGUGAUGUCUGAGUACUAUAUAAUAGUUAAAACUUUCAACAACGGAUCUCUUGGUUCUGGCAUCGAUGAAGAACGCAGCGAAAUGCGAUAAGUAAUGUGAAUUGCAGAAUUCAGUGAAUCAUCGAAUCUUUGAACGCACAUUGCGCCCUUUGGUAUUCCGAAGGGCAUGCCUGUUCGAGCGUCAUUAUAACCACUCACGCCCUCGCGUGGUCUUGGGGUCUCGCGGUUCCGCGGCCCCUAAAAUCAGUGGCGGUGCCUGUCGGCUCUACGCGUAGUAAUACUCCUCGCGAUUGAGUCCGGUGGGUAGCUUGCCAACAACCCCCUAUAUUUUUACAGGUGACCUCGGAUCAGUAGGUCCCGCCAC